UGCACCUUUUGCACGGAUAAUCUUGUUUUUCUAGGUUUUGUUGUAAGUGCAGAUGGGGUUAAAGUAGACGAGGAGAAAGUGAAGGUAAUCAAGGAGUGGCCUUGUAACGCCCGUGAACCGGAAAAUCGGUUAGGGUUUGUUUUUAAAUCAUCCGGUUUAAUUGGUUGGGUUAAUUGGAAACCCUAGACUGUGCCUAUAAAAGAAGGAAACUCGAAAUUAGGGCUUUGGUUAGCCACUUUUCGUUUUAUAAAGGAGAAAAAGAGAGAAAAGGAGAAGGAGCAAAAUCGUUAGGGUUUGGGAGAAAUCGGUUUCGUCAUAUCAAAUCGUGGUAAACGGUAACGAAAUUUGGUAGAGUUAUUCCCAAGUCCUUUAUAGUUAUUCUCCAGUUUACAGAAUUGUAUUUGGAUUAAAAUUGGUUGAGUUAUUCGCAGUUUCGUGAGACACGUUUUCUCAGACGCGAAUUGGGACCAGCGGAGAUUGAAACUGAGAUCGUGGUCUCGUCUGUUUUCCGAUCGGCACGAGAUUUUGUGGGCAGCUUUUUGACGUCUGCAGCUAGGAUUUCACCGGAGCGAGUGAAUAGUUAACGGUUAGUUUGUGUUUUAGGGUUUCGUCUUUGAGACUGCUUGUUUCUGGUUUUUCCUGUCCAGUUUGCUUCAAGGUUGCUUUUGGUUGUGGACUUGUUGUAGGACGUUUCUGGACUGUUUCAGACGCAAGGAGAGACUCUCCUGGGUUUAAUUGCUAUUAGAAUCAAUUUGUUAAGGUGAGUGCGUGACCAUGAGCUUAUCUGGGCGAUUGGGUUGUGUGAUUUGUUUUGUGUGAUGAUAUGUAGGUGUGGUGAAUGUGUUUUGGGUGAAUUGUUCAAUGACUGGUUUGUUUGUAUUGUAUUCGUGAUUAUACCUUUUUAUUUGCUUGUGUGUAUAGCUCGUAGAUGGGAGGAUCGCCUCACUAAGUAUUUAUGAUAAUACUUACGUAUCUCAUUGUGUUGUUGAUGCAGGUAAAGAUAAAGUCUGAUCGUGGAAUCAUGGCAAGGAAGAGAGGAUGAUCUAGGAACUCGUUUGUUUUAUUUUUGGUGUUUUUGGUUAUUAAAACCCGGUUAGGAUUGUUAGUUAUUCUUGGUUUUGUUGGUCGAAUUAUUUAUUUAUUCAUAAAAUAGUAUUUUUGACUUGCGGUUUAAUUGUUAUUUUAUUGGUUGAUUUAAUUAGAUAUUUAUAGGAAUAUUUAAUUAUAUUUUUUUUUAAAAAAAUGGGUCGGGUUGUUUCAGGCCUAGCCCUAAAACCGUUGGAGAAGUUCUGAGCUUUCAUGGCCUUGCCGGUUUCUAUAGACGCUUUGUCAAGGAUUUUAGCACCUUAGCUGCACCCCUCACCGAAGUAAUCAAGAAAGAUGUUGGAUUCAAAUGGGAAGAAGCUCAAGAGAAAGCUUUUCAAGCACUUAAACAGAAGCUUACUAAUGCCCAUAUUUUGAUCUUACCUGAUUUUCUUAAAACCUUUGAAAUCGAAUGUGAUGCCUCCGGCAUAGGUAUUGGAGCUGUUUUGAUGCAGGAUAAGAAGCCCAUAGCCUACUUUAGUGAGAAGCUCGGUGGUGCCACAUUAAACUAUCGGAUUUAUGACAAAGAACUUUACGCUUUGGUCCGCGCCUUACAAACGUGGCAUCACUCCUUAUGGCCGAAGGAGUUUGUCACAUGUAAAAAGGCUAAGUCCAAAGUCCAACCGAACGAUGGGAAAAAGAAAGCAGAAAUGGUGCAGCAAAUCCAUGAGGAAGCUAGGAAAAAUAUUGAGGAGAAAACAAAGAAGUAUGUGGAACAAGCGAACAAGGGCCGGCGACGCAUGGUCUUUGAAGAAGGUGACUAAGUGUGGAUUCACUUAAGGAAGGAAUGAUUCCCAGCCGAAAGACGUAGCAAACUGAUGCCAAGAAUAAACGGGCCGUUCACCAUUACAAAAAGGAUCAAUGAUAACUCUUAUCAAAUUGAUUUUUGAGGUAAGCAUAAUAUAAGUUCGAGCUUUAAUGUUUCUGAUUUAUCUCCUUUUCUUGUAGAUGAAACGGAUUUGAGGGCAAAUCCUUUUCAAGAGGGAGGGCAUGAUAUGACUAUUGCCGGACAAGACUUGGAACUUGAACCAAUGGAGCAGCUUGUAGCCGAGGAGCAGCUUGUAACGGAGGAAGCUUUGGCGGAACCAACCGGCCCUAUGACUCGUUCGAAGACUAGACAUCUCAACCAAGCCGUUACCGGACUUCUUAACCACUUGGGCAAGCAUCCAAAUGAAGUCAUACUAACCGUUUGGAACUCGAAAGCAGCCCAAGACGAUUGGUAAUAGGCUAAGUGUUACUUGGGUACUCUUUUUCCCUUCUAAGGUUUUGUCCCAAUGGGUUUUCCUUAGUAGGUUUUUAAUGAGGCUUGAGUAACACUUCCAAAUCCCCCAUUAUCAAUCCGGCCUAAGCCCACUAAGAUGACCACGAAUUUGGAAGGCCAUGGGUCUAUUUUUGUUCAGAUUUUCAUUUAUGAUUUCUCCUUUUCCGAGUGGCCUUGGAGCUUAUUCCAAGACUAACUCUUCCUUUUCUCUUCUUCUCUAUUUAAACUCUUGUAUUUCCUCAUUGUAAACUCAUCUAUCCUUUCAAUCUCAAACUCUUUUAAGCUAGAUCAAAGGUAAAUCAAAGGCCAUCUGCAUCAUUUGUGUGACCAUUCGCUCCACAUCCUUUGGUUUGAGUGAUCUCAUGAUCUCUUAGAUGCAAAGUCUAUCCCCUACUCAACCUCAAGAGUGUCGAUCUUAGGGAAGUCAUAUUAGGCGCGAAGUAGGAAUCGCUCGCAAAUCGCAGGACGCCACCUGUCAAAGGUUGGCAGGAUUGUGUCUUUCCGAGUCUUGAAGCAUCGGAAGACGUUUCCCUCUGUUUCCAUCGCUGUCAAAGUAAUAAAGAGAUUCGAACCCAUGUAUGGGAAGUUAGGCCGAUGAAUCAAACAAUAUAGCAAGUAAAGAGAUUAAAUGGUAAUUUCUAACCUGUGAGUGAUUUGGUUUGAGGAACCAGAACGGCCUUAGCUUAGGGUUGGCAUCUCGGGGCUCACACUCUUCUUGUGAGGAUUUGCACUCCGACCGGUCUUUCACCCCAAGAUCUAGAAGAAGGAGAUGCGAUGACUGGAGGAGGGGGACCCAUUGAUCGGGGUAGGGGAGAUGAUCGAGGAGAACGAUCAGUUCGGGCUAUAGUCUUAUCUCUCUUAGGAAAGGAACUGCUGCGAGUUGGUCUUUCUCUCUUUUUCUGAAGCAAGUCUGCUAUCAGUUCGCUGCUUAACCUAGUCCGAGAAGCAGUCUGAGGUGAGUCACGACGUGGUGAUUGGUCUCUACGAGGUGACCGGCCGCCAUGACCUUUACGGUGAGGUGUAGGUCUGAAGGCACCGGCAGAUCUCGCCCCUUCGUCGCUACCAUCGUCGACCAGCAGAGUUCUACUGUAUUCUUUCUUGUCGACAGCAGACUGAAGGAAUGACUUGUUCGCCUCACAAGCCUUUGUCAUUGGCUUGGAUAACGUCUUUCAACGGGAAGCGAUAGCCCUAGCAGAAGUUCCGUGAGGUAGAGGUGGAGGUGGUGGAAGUUGGGUAGUUGUCCGGGUGGACUCAUUCUGAGCUUAUGAUUGGCCUCAAUGAACCGAUCGAGAGUGAAAGAGUUCCAGAGGGUCUCUCCCUCGAUAACAAUCUUGAUGAAUUCAACAAAUUCUAUAGUUGGGAGAGUUGGAGCAAUGAAAGCUCCGAAAUGAAAAUCAU
rnacentral:sRNA from 1 species